rnacentral:rRNA from 1 species
GAUGAACGCUGGCGGCGUGCCUAAUACAUGCAAGUCGAGCGAACAGACGAGGAGCUUGCUCCUCUGACGUUAGCGGCGGACGGGUGAGUAACACGUGGAUAACCUACCUAUAAGACUGGGAUAACUUCGGGAAACCGGAGCUAAUACCGGAUAAUAUAUUGAACCGCAUGGUUCAAUAGUGAAAGACGGUUUUGCUGUCACUUAUAGAUGGAUCCGCGCCGCAUUAGCUAGUUGGUAAGGUAACGGCUUACCAAGGCGACGAUGCGUAGCCGACCUGAGAGGGUGAUCGGCCACACUGGAACUGAGACACGGUCCAGACUCCUACGGGAGGCAGCAGUAGGGAAUCUUCCGCGAUGGGCGAAAGCCUGACGGAGCAACGCCGCGUGAGUGAUGAAGGUCUUCGGAUCGUAAAACUCUGUUAUUAGGGAAGAACAAAUGUGUAAGUAACUAUGCACGUCUUGACGGUACCUAAUCAGAAAGCCACAGCUAACUACGUG